UAAACUUAUCAACAUUAACUAGCACAUUUUCUAUUAUUCCAACCGAAAUUUUGAUAGAGCUAUGUGCUAAUUGCAAAGUAAUUCUAGUAGGCUUAGGUUCUCCCAAUCCUAGCUUCUUGUAAGUACCAUAUGACAUCAAAUUAAUACUAGCUCCUAAAUCAAAUAAUACUUUUUCAAUUGAAAGAUCACCUAAGUCACAUGGAAUAAUAAACUUACUUGGAUCCUUCAACUUUUAUGGCAUCUAGUUUUGUAGAAUAGCUAAGAAUUC
rnacentral:lncRNA from 1 species